GACGAACGCUGGCGGCGUGCCUAAUACAUGCAAGUUGAGCGCUGAAGGUUGGUACUUGUACCAACUGGAUGAGCAGCGAACGGGUGAGUAACGCGUGGGGAAUCUGCCUUUGAGCGGGGGACAACAUUUGGAAACGAAUGCUAAUACCGCAUAAAAACUUUAAACACAAGUUUUAAGUUUGAAAGAUGCAAUUGCAUCACUCAAAGAUGAUCCCGCGUUGUAUUAGCUAGUUGGUGAGGUAGAGGCUCACCAAGGCGAUGAUACAUAGCCGACCUGAGAGGGUGAUCGGCCACAUUGGGACUGAGACACGGCCCAAACUCCUACGGGAGGCAGCAGUAGGGAAUCUUCGGCAAUGGACGAAAGUCUGACCGAGCAACGCCGCGUGAGUGAAGAAGGUUUUCGGAUCGUAAAACUCUGUUGGUAGAGAAGAACGUUGGUGAGAGUGGAAAGCUCAUCAAGUGACGGUAACUACCCAGAAAGGGACGGCUAACUACGUG
rnacentral:rRNA from 1 species